ensembl:lncRNA
GGAGGAGGGGAUUCUUAUAAAAUCUGGCAGCUUACACAUCCUGAAUGAGACAGAUUGGUUUGUUCAGAUAGACUGUGCAUACAAGGAACAAUGAGUAAGAUGACCUGGUGGGUUGCAGCACGACUCAAGAACUUACAUACAACAGGAAGGUGAAGGAAGAGCUUCAUAUCCCGUACAAGCCUGGGUUACCUGAAAAAGUAUUCUAGGUCCUCCCGAGAUCAUGUACCUCAGUGUAGCAAAUCACAGGACUAGUGGCUGCUGCUUUGUACUGGAUGGCUUCUAGUGGUAUGGAUUCCCUUAACCCACAUCUUUCCCAGCUGCACACAGGGAAGAUAAAUAUCUGUUAAAAAUCCUCACCACCAUCACUACCACCCCAGCAAAAAAAACCCUGAGAGAAGAUCUGAGAAUUAGAAAAGAUGCAGGCCAAAGACAGCAGUCCACCAGAUGGUGGCUAUGGAUGGGUUGUGGUAGUGUCAGCCUUCACGGUGAUGGGCCUCACUGCUGCCGUCCUCAAGACUUUUGGUCUGUUCUUUGUUGAAAUCCAGCAGCACUUUGAUGAACUUGCAAGCACCACUUCCUGGAUCACAUCAGUAACUAUUGUCAUCUUUCAUUUAGGAGGGACCAGAAGACUUUCUGCUGAAGAUCAUCUCCAGUUCUUUGAGCAUCUUUCCUGGCCUGGCUUAGUCUUUCUUAAUGUGUUCCUCUGGGAAACCUUCAGUGUCAUUUGGCUCAGUAUGAAGGAUGAUCAGUGAAUUACUAAUUUUUCCUGUUUGGAUCCUUUCAACAGCAGCUCUGUGUCUCAUGUGGAAGGAGAACAUGUGCUUCUACUUUUGGGGUUUGCACCUGCAACAGGCUGUUCAAUUUACCACAGCAAGGAUUCUCCCCAUCACACACACAGACCUUAUCUUGGUACUGAUGUACAUCUCCUAUCACCUUUCUCUUUGCACUGUGAUUAUCAUACUUUUUAAUUGCUUGUAAGUUUUCUGUGUAUUGACCUUUUUCCUUUCAGACUCUGGAACCUAGCAAUCUUCUCCAUUUCCAGUUCUGUGAGUAGCUUCUUUCUUCCUCCUGCUACCCCAUUUUCAAUUUCUGCUUAUUUCUUCUCCUCAUUCCCUGUUAAAAAAAAUUUGCUUUUUGGUAGUAUUUCUGCUCCAACUGCAGACCUUUCUCUUGUCUUUAAGCACUUCCAUGGAUCUCUUGUUAUCCUGAGUCUACUUUUCUUUUGUUCAUCAUAUAUUUAUGAUUCUCCAGGUGUAUAUGCUUUGUCCUGUCUCAUCCCUUCCACUACAUGUUACAGACCAUCACUGAAUUCCAGUGUCGAUUUUACAUGCUUAUCAAAUAAUUUUAUUUUUGCUGUAAAUGCUGAUGAGACAUUUGGAGUUUGUAUAACUUCUGCCAGCUACCUGCUGUCAGACAAUGUACGUCCUGCAGAUUUUGCAGCCAUUAAUAUCUCUCUGCUAGGUUUAUUUCACUUGUCCUAGCUACCAAAUUCUCUUCAUUCUUAUCUUACUUAACACAGGUGAACGUACAAGUUGCCCCUACAAACUACUAUAAACCCUCCCUUGCUGACUGCCCUCUCUUCACUGUCUCCCCACUUAGUUCAGUUUACAAACAUGGUCGUCAUCAACCGAAUUUAAUUUUAUCCUCGAGCUCCAAUUUCCAGAAUAUUAGUAAAUUGUAGGGAGCGCUACAAAGCCUCACCGAGAACCGGUGGUGUCAGGUGUUACUUGGGAUCCCUCUAGUGGCCACGGUUAAUUAAAAAAAAUAAUCCUGUGUUUGUGAUUUGAAACUAUCCCCACAGAACAGAGUGUCUUUCCGUGGUAGGUAUGGCCUUGAUCUUAACGCUGUAAUGCUGAUGGAAAAACAGCCAGGCAGUAUAACUGAUGCUUAAUUAAGCAAAAAUAUCCCUAACAUUUCAGGUGCUUCCAUAUAGCAACUAGAGACCAGUGCUUUGGGGUUUGGAAUUGCUGCACAAAGGCAGAUCUUUGCAACUUUGCAACUCAGGCGCAACUUUGCCCUCAUGUAUUGAAGAGUUCCUGCAGUCUGCUGAGAAAUACUGUACCACUGAAAUAAAAAUUUAAGAAAUGAACAGCAAA